rnacentral:ribozyme from 13 species
CUUCUUCUUCUCUCCUUUCUCUCCUUUCUCUCCUUUCUCUUCUUCUUCUUUUCCGAAAACACUUUCGAUAUUGCACCCAACACAAAGAGGAACCCGGCUCGUUUGUCCAGAUUGCUCUCCAUGAAGAUUUGAACUGAUCAAAUAUCUUUGAAGAGGAGUGAUUGUAAAUGUUCUUCCUGUCUUCUCUUUUAGUCUUUCUUGU